GGAGAGGUGGCAGAGUGGUCGAAUGCACCGGCUUGCUAAGCCGGCGUACGGGUUUACCUGUACCGAGGGUUCAAAUCCCUCCCUCUCCGCCA
rnacentral:tRNA from 1 species